rnacentral:rRNA from 1 species
UACGUAGGGGGCAAGCGUUGUCCGGAUUUAUUGGGCGUAAAGAGCGUGUAGGCGGCUAGAUAGGUCCGUUGUGAAAACUCGAGGCUCAACCUCGAGACGUCGAUGGAAACCAUCUGGCUAGAGUCCGGAGAGGAGAGUGGAAUUCCUGGUGUAGCGGUGAAAUGCGCAGAUAUCAGGAAGAACACCCGUGGCGAAGGCGGCUCUCUGGUACGUGACUGACGCUGAGACGCGAAAGCGUGGGGAGCAAACAGG